UACUUUGGUGGCGACCGGCGCACGGGUGCGUAACGCGUAUGCAACCUACCUUUAACAGGGGCAUAACACUGAGAAAUUGGUACUAAUUCCCCAUAACAUUCGAGAAGGCAUCUUCUUGGGUUAAAAACUCCGGUGGUUAAAGAUGGGCAUGCGUUGUAUUAGCUAGUUGGUGAGGUAACGGCUCACCAAGGCAACGAUACAUAGGGGGACUGAGAGGUUAACCCCCUACAUUGGUACUGAGACACGGACCAA
rnacentral:rRNA from 1 species